UUUCCGUAGGUGAACCUGCGGAAGGAUCAUUAUUGGAUUUUGGGCCUUGGCCCCAUUACCAAAAAACCCUUCAUAACCUCUUGUGAACAUGUCGGCCCUCGGGCUUUCAAAAUCAAAACUUUUGUGUGUCGUAGGAACGUAACAACUAUUAAAAGUCACACAACUCUCAACAACGGAUCUCUUGGCUCUC
rnacentral:misc_RNA from 1 species